CAGCAAUCAAUUAAGUCCACCCUAGCUUAAUUAUUCCGAUCAUCGAUGCAAAAAUAACUUUAAAUUAUGCAAACAAACCAGUUAUAACCACCGAAGACGCUUCUGACGUGAUCUUAUUUCUCCUUAAUUAUUCGGUAACCAGGAAGACGCUUCACUAAUUACUACCCUAAUCGACUGACAACCGUAAGAGACGCUCUAUAGGUUUAAUGAGCCGACAGCAUUAAUAUCUAGAGAAACCCGAUUCAAAACCAAUAAACUCUGACGCAGGAUUAUUGAAUUAAGACUGCUUUUCCCUUGACCCUGAUGUGUCAAUUUACCACUAAUCAAACCUAAAUCACAAUUACGGAUGGCCGGUUCAAUUGGCUAUAUAAUUAAUUCUAACCCAAUAAAUAUUUGCAACUAUCUAAUGGAUUAAAA
rnacentral:lncRNA from 1 species